GAGUUUGAUCAUGGCUCAGAUUGAACGCUGGCGGCAGGCCUAACACAUGCAAGUCGAGCGGAUGACGGGAGCUUGCUCCUUGAUUCAGCGGCGGACGGGUGAGUAAUGGCCUAGGAAUCUGCCUGGUAGUGGGGGACAACGUUUCGAAAGGAACGCUAAUACCGCAUACGUCCUACGGGAGAAAGCAGGGGACCUUCGGGCCUUGCGCUAUCAGAUGAGCCUAGGUCGGAUUAGCUAGUUGGUGGGGUAAUGGCUCACCAAGGCGACGAUCCGUAACUGGUCUGAGAGGAUGAUCAGUCACACUGGAACUGAGACACGGUCCAGACUCCUACGGGAGGCAGCAGUGGGGAAUAUUGGACAAUGGGCGAAAGCCUGAUCCAGCCAUGCCGCGUGUGUGAAGAAGGUCUUCGGAUUGUAAAGCACUUUAAGUUGGAGAAGGCAGUAGUUAAUACCUUGCUGUUUGACGUUACCGACAGAAUAAGCACCGGCUAACGUCU
rnacentral:rRNA from 1 species